rnacentral:rRNA from 1 species
UACGGAGGGGGCUAGCGUUGUUCGGAAUUACUGGGCGUAAAGCGCACGUAGGCGGCUUUGUAAGUUAGAGGUGAAAGCCCGGGGCUUAACCCUGGAAUUGCCUUUAAGACUGCAUCGCUAGAAUCGUGGAGAGGUAAGUGGAAUUCCGAGUGUAGAGGUGAAAUUCGUAGAUAUUCGGAAGAACACCAGUGGCGAAGGCGGCGACCUGGUCCUUGACUGACGCUGAGGCGCGAAAGCGUGGGGAGCAAACAGG